ensembl:lncRNA
CAUUAAUGUUCUUGAUGAAUCUUCAAAAAGGUUUUUCAUUGAAAAAUCUCCUAAUAUGCUGUCCAUUGAUGUUGGGCUACUGGUCACUGAUGUCCCCACUGACUUUUCUGUAAGUUUCUCUUGUUUAGUUGCACUAUGAAGUGCAGGUCCAGAAGAUACUGUCUUUGAUGCUGGAGUGAAGGGUACAGGCACACAAGUGGCAAGCAAAGCAGAGACCAAGGCUGGGACUUGAGCUACAGCUGCUGUUGCCAUGGAAACAGCUACAGCAGCAGUGGCAGGAUUCAAUCACUGAGUUGUAGAUGGGGCUGGUGCUGCUACUGCCUUGGGAUAUCAUCAUAACCAUCACAAAGCUUUUUUUAAAUUACUAUCAUAUUCUUUGAAGGCAGUAUCAUCAUUAGGAUUUUCUGUGAAGCAACAUAUUUUUGUCCCACUACCUAAAAUGCAUUAUUCACCUUCACUUACUUUACUACAAAACUACAACCAACCCCAAAGGGUUUAGUCUUCUGCAUUAAGCUGAAUUUUGGAACCCAGGCCCUACCUGAGCCUGGAGCCCACAGUACAUAUCACAUCCUCAGAGCCAGUCUUUUACUCCUGUUACUUCUACCUUGGGUUCUUACAGUCUACCAGGAUAGAACUCAAGAGGGAUUACCAAGCAUAACACAGAGGAAAGUUUAUUUCAACUUGUGCACAAGGGAGCCAGCACCAAGAAAGAAAGAGGAAUGCGCUUCUCCCAAGGAUUUCAGAGGACUGAGAUAACAUAUCCAAUAAACGUUAGCAGCAGAGGCUUCUGAUCAUAAAGGACUGCAAAGGUUUUUGACUGAGUGGAGGCACAUUCCUGGCAGAGGGACACUGUGAUGGAAGGAAGGCAAGCCAAUACACUUCAUGAAGACUUUUUUGAACAACAUUAAAAAGAAAAACCCAGAAGAGAAUACUACAGGAAAUUGUAGAAAAUAAGAUGAGACAGGGGAUCAGGGUCCCAUAUUUAAAAGACAUCAAACUUACAUUUUAGGGUGCUGUCAUUUUAAAGUGUUUCUAAAAUACCGUAGUUUUUAUAUUAUCUAAAUAUCCAGAAACUUAAACCUAUGGUCCUGUUUCCCAGUGAUAUAGUUUUCCUGUGUCCCCACCCAAAUCUCGUCUUGAAUUCCCAGGUGUUGUGGGAGAUGACUGAAUCAUGGGGUGGGUCUUUCCUGUGCUGUUCUUGGGAUAGUGAAUAAGUCUCACAAGAUAUGAUGGUUUAAAAAAAAAGGGGAGUUUCCCUGCACAAGCUCUCUUCUCUUGUCUGCUGCCAUGUGAGACGUGGCUUUCAUCUUCCUCCAUGAUUGUGAGGCCUCCCCACACACGUGGAACUGUAAGCCCAAUACACUUCUUUCUUUUUUCAAAUUGCCCAGUCUUAGGUAUGUCUUUAGCAGCAGCAUGAGAACAGACUAAUACACCCAGCUUAGGAAGUAAACACUAUUAAUGCAGCUGAAAUCUCCUGUGUUUUGUUCCAUAAUCAUAAAUAAUUUCUCCCUUACCAGAGAUAAUUCUUAUCCUAUAUUUGGCAUUUAUUAUUCUUAGGCAUUCCUUAAUAGUCAAAUGCAUGGAUAUUACUUAGAUAAUAAAUAGAUGUUUAUGUUCCAAAACAAAACAAAUAUUCCAAGUUAAAAAAAAUAUUAUGGGCCGGGCACGGUGGCUCAAGCCUGUAAUCCCAGCACUUUGGGAGGCCGAGACUGGUGGAUCACGAGGUCGAGAGAUCGAGACCAUCCUGGUCAACAUGGUGAAACCCCGUCUCUACUAAAAAUACAAAAAAUUAGCUGGGCACGGUGGUGUGUGCCUGUAAUCCCAGCUACUUGGGAGGCUGAGGCAGGAGAAUUGCCUGAACCCAGGAGGCGGAGGUUGCGGUGAGCCGAGAUCGCGCCAUUGCACUCCAGCCUGGGUAACAAGAGCAAAAAAACUCCGUCUCAAAAAAAAAAAAAAAAAAAAAAAAAUAUUAUGAAGUUUAAUAGAAAAGACAUGGAAUCAACCUACAUGCCCAACAAUGACAGACUGGAUAAAAAAAAUGUGGCACAUAUAAACUAUAGAAUACUAUGCAGCCAUUAAAAAGAAUGAAAUCAUGUCCUUUGCAGCAACAUGAAUGCAGCUGGAGGCCAUCAUCCUAAGCAAAUUAACACAGUAAUUGAACACUAUAUACCACAUGUUCUGAUUUAUAAUAAAUAGUAGCUAAACACUGGGUACACAUGGACAUAAAGAUGUGAAUAAUGGGCACUGGCGACUACUAGAAGAGGGACUGGUGGGGAGAAAAGGGCUGAAAAACUACCUACUGGUACUAUUCUUACUAUGCAGAUGAUCGCAUCGUUCAUACUCCAAACCUCAGCAUCACAGAAAAUACCUAUGUAACAAACU